rnacentral:sRNA from 1 species
CAGGCGGGAAUACUUACCACUAUACUACAACGACUCUGUU